rnacentral:rRNA from 1 species
GAUGAACGCUGGCGGCAUGCCUAAUACAUGCAAGUCGAACGAAGUCUUUAGGAAGCUUGCUUCCAAAGAGACUUAGUGGCGAACGGGUGAGUAACACGUAGGUAACCUGCCCAUGUGCCCGGGAUAACUGCUGGAAACGGUAGCUAAAACCGGAUAGGUAUGAGGGAGGCAUCUUCCUCAUAUUAAAGCACCUUCGGGGUGUGAACAGUGGAGUCGGACCUGGCGGCGCUAUUAGCGUUGGUUGGUGAGGUAACCGGCCCACCGAAGGCGAUGAUGCGUAGCCGACCUGA